UACGUAGGGCGCAAGCGUUGGCCGGAAUUAUUGGGCGUAAAGAGCUCGUAGGCGGUUUGUCACGUCGGGUGUGAAAGCCCACAGCUUAACUGUGGGUCUGCAUUCGAUACGGGCAGACUAGAGGCAGGUAGGGGAGAACGGAAUUCCCGGUGUAGCGGUGAAAUGCGCAGAUAUCGGGAGGAACACCGGUGGCGAAGGCGGUUCUCUGGGCCUGUACUGACGCUGAGGAGCGAAAGCGUGGGGAGCGAACAGG
rnacentral:rRNA from 1 species